rnacentral:rRNA from 1 species
GACGAACGCUGGCGGCGUGCUUAACACAUGCAAGUCGAACGGAAAUGCCUGCUUUCUCUUGUGGAUUCCGGUUACUCGCGUGGCGAACGGGUGAGUAACACGUGAGUUAUCUCACCCCAACUUGUGUAUAAACCUGGGACACUCGGUCUAAUUCCCGUUUGGCCUCCGGGGUGGUUCCUGUGGUUUAAAACGAUUUUCUAGUAGUUUGUGGUGAGCUCGCGGCCUAUUAGCUUGUUGGUGGGGUAAUGGCCUCCCGAGGCGGGGACGGGUAGCCGGCCUGAGGGGGUGGACGGGCACAUUGGGGCUGAGAUACGGCCCAGACUCCGACGGACGGCAGCAGUGGGGAAGAUUGGAAGAUGGGCGGAAGACUGAUGCAGGGACGCCGAGUGGGGGAUGACGGCCUUCGGGUUGUAAACUCCUUUCGGCAGCGAGGAAGCCACCUGGUUGGAAGGGUAGUGACGGUAGUGGUAGAAGAAGCACCGGCUAACUACGUG